rnacentral:tRNA from 1 species
GCGUCAGUGGCCUAAUGGAUCAGACGUCUGAAUUCUAAUCAAGUGAUUGUGGGUUCGAGUCCCACCGGGCGUG